rnacentral:tRNA from 1 species
CCGAGCUUAGCUCAGUUGGUAGAGCGGAAGACUGUAGAUCUUUAGGUCGCUAGUUCGAAUCUGGCAGCUCGGA